rnacentral:ncRNA from 1 species
GCUCGUAGUUGGAUCUGCGCCUUAGGACUUGCUCCAUCCGAUUGGAUGUGAACUGAGAAUCGAGACUUAUAAGCAGCAAAUUUUACAAUAUGUUGCCUUAAUAUUGGUUGCAUAUGGUGGCUGGUGUGUUUACCUUGAAAUAAUUAGAGUGCUUAACACGGGCUUCUAAUGCUUGAACACUCGUGCAUGAACUAAUUGAAUAGGAUCUUGAUUAUUGUAUGCCUAUUUUGUUGGUUUAAAACAUAAAUACGAUUGAGAUAAUGGUUAAGAUGGACGGAUUAGGGCAUCCGUAUCGCUGCGUGAGAAAUAAAAUUCUUGGACCGUAGCGUCUAGGCAAAUACGAGUUUUCGACACAAACACAAAGGAAUGCAAUAC